GCCCUCGGUGGCUCAGAUGGAUAGAGCGUCUGCCAUGUAAGCAGGAGAUCGCGGGUUCGAGUCCCGGUCGGGGCA
rnacentral:tRNA from 1 species